UUGUUGAAUACAGUUUCAACUAUUGACAAUAUUUUGGUUUUAUUAAAUAAAUUUGAAUUAUUAUUAAUCAAGUUUUCAUGCUAUUUAAAAAAAGCUUUAAUCUAUAACAAAUCUUUUUUUUUUUUUUUAAUUGGACUUAAUAACUUGAAAUUUAAAAUAUAAUAUUUAUUUUAAAUUAAAAAUUAUUUGUCUUGUAUUACAUUAAUUGUGAAAUUACUGAAAAUGUACUAAUACUUCGUUAGAAAUUAGGUAACAAAUAAGAAGUUUCAAAAUCGACAUUUUAAGAUACUUGCAUAAUAAACAAACAAUAGAACAUAUGCCUUAAUCAAUACUUGCUCUCAAUGAUAAGUAUGCUCUUGUGCUUACUCAGCAAGAUUUAUUAGUUAGUAUAAUCAAAUAGUACUCAAUUAUUUACCAUAUAAUUUAGAUGUCGAGUACAUAAAACAUGUUCUACAAAAAAAAACCCCAGCACAGUGGAGACGUGGCAUAGUUGGGUCCAGUAUAGAUUUAAUCUGACACUGUCUAGGCCGUACAAUCUGUAGCUUUGUAGCUCUUGGAGUUGGUUUUAAUCGCAAUACUGGUAUACACUAAAGGAUCGCAUUUCAAGAUGUCUUAGCUAAUGCCAAUAACAAAUAAAGCCUCGAGUUUUUCGUCAAUAGUUCUUGGCAACAAGAUUUAUUCGGGACGUAGAGCACGAGUACUGCCUAAAGUUCACCAUCAAAACUGUUGUUACUGCUUUUAACAGUUUAAAUGCGUUUGAUAACUUCGACAUGGCGUUCAUGUCAUACUUACUUUAGCUAAGAAGAUAGAAAGUGACAUCACUCAUACAAUAUCCUUUAGGAAAAAAACGAUUAUUGUUUUCGGUGAACUGAAACGGAUUUUUAGUACACUUGAAGAAUACUAUGUAAAUAUCAUCAAAUGUCUCCAACGACAAGUUGAGAUUGUUCGAUGUAAUCAUCUUCUUGAAACGCAUUUUGUUUACUGGACAUAACAAACGCAUAUCAUUUUUAGGUUUAGCGGAUAACUCGACGACUUACUGAAAAAUGUCCUUCGCUACUAAUUCAAAACUUGUGUCGCUUUAGAUUUUCCACUCCAAAAAAAUUGCCAAUUUCACGGACAUCAGCCGUGAAGAAUACUUUGUCGGAAUUGUCUUAAAAUAACAUUCAGGUGUCGUUCUUAUAGCGUAGACAUUGAAACAAACGUAUAGAAUUUAAAACUAGUGUCAAAAAUAUGUCAACGGUAUAGCAAAAUGCAGUCUCUUAUAUAUGAAAUGGUUUCUUACCGAUCAAACUAUUUUAGCCAGCAACGAAUAAAUAAAUAAUUAUAAUUAUAACAACAGUUUAUUACAAAUUAUUAUCAGCCAGCUGUUAAAGAUAUGUAUUAUUUACUACAUGUAAUUAUAUGAGCCAACUUAAUUUGAUAUUGUUUGAAUUUACAUGUUGAUUGUAUUACUUGCGAUAUGAGGACUGUUGAUGUGAGCGUAGAUAAUGUGGGUGAUCGUGUCAAGUGUAAUUUAGGCUAAGGGUGGUCGACCACAAGUCGACACUAAAUCAAAAUUAAUGUUUAAUUUAAUAUAUCAACAAAGGCGUGGAUCAAUUGGGAGAUAUUUUAGAAGAUACAAUUUAAAAUUUAGAAAAUAACACUUAUUAAAGAAAAGCAACAUUUUUUUGUUUAACCCUCUGUCAUUUAUACUAUAAUUCUUUUGGAAUUCAUUGAUUGGUUAAGAAAGUUUGUUAACUCAAUCGAAAAAUUAAAAUGAUUUUAUUGAAUUUUCAAGUAAUAAAUUAAUAAUUUAAAAACCUAAAAUAAAUUAACUGAGUAGAAAUUCAUCAGAAUAAAAAUAUUCAUCUUUUUAAGAACAAAUGUGAUAUUCAAAGCCCCUAAUAACGUCAAAAAAUAUAUAGCCAAGCUUUAAUCAAUAGAAUGUAAAUUUUUUAAAUUAAUACCUUCUCAGCUUCGCAUCAAAGCUAAAAACAAUUUUUAA